rnacentral:rRNA from 1 species
AGAGUUUGAUCCUGGCUCAGGACGAACGCUGGCGGCGUGCCUAAUACAUGCAAGUCGAGCGCAGGAAGCCGUCUGAACCCUUCGGGGGGACGACGGUGGAAUGAGCGGCGGACGGGUGAGUAACACGUAAAGAACCUGCCCAUAGGUCUGGGAUAACCACGGGAAAUCGGGGCUAAUACCGGAUGUGUCAUCGGACCGCAUGGUCCGCUGAUGAAAGGCGCUCCGGCGUCGCCCAUGGAUGGCUUUGCGGUGCAUUAGCUAGUUGGUGGGGUAACGGCCCACCAAGGCGACGAUGCAUAGCCGACCUGAGAGGGUGAUCGGCCACACUGGGACUGAGACACGGCCCAGACUCCUACGGGAGGCAGCAGUAGGGAAUCUUCCACAAUGGACGAAAGUCUGAUGGAGCAACGCCGCGUGAACGAUGAAGGCUUUCGGGUCGUAAAGUUCUGUUGUAAGGGAAGAACAAGUGCCGCAGGCAAUGGCGGCACCUUGACGGUACCUUGCGAGAAAGCCACGGCUAACUACGUGCCAGCAGCCGCGGUAAUACGUAGGUGGCAAGCGUUGUCCGGAAUUAUUGGGCGUAAAGCGCGCGCAGGCGGCCUCUUAAGUCUGAUGUGAAGGCCCCCGGCUCAACCGGGGAGGGCCAUUGGAAACUGGGAGGCUUGAGUAUAGGAGAGAAGAGUGGAAUUCCUCGUGUAUCGGUGAAAUGCGUAGAGAUGUGUAGGAACACCAGUGGCUAAUGCA